AGCCCGGUGGUGUAGCGGCCAAGCAUACUGGCCUUUGGAGCCGGUGACCCUGGUUCGAAUCCAGGCCGGGCUACCA
rnacentral:tRNA from 1 species